GAAACUGGUGCCGCAGCGCCAUUGUUAAGCAAGAGGCAGAGAAGAAAGAAAAUGAAUGCAAAGGAAAGGGAAGUUGAUUGAAGGUGAAUUAUAACCUUAAUUAAACUAAAUGUAACAUCAUAGAGGAUGAUUAAAACAUUUAGUUCAUCGAUUAAACGUCAACGAAAGGUUAUGAAAAUAUGAAUAUAAAGUAAUAUGAAAAUCGUAGGCACGCUGAACGAAUGUUUGAGUUUACUUAAAAUGUAAUUACUUAAACAUUGAAUGAAUAAGAUUACUUAUAACAAUAACAUGUUAUAAAGCCGUAAUGAAUGUUAGUUAAAGCAAAUGAAUGGUUAGACCGAAACGGAGGAGAAUAUAAGUUUUUGAAAUAACUAUUGAUUAUUUAUGACCUAAUGUGGUAUGCUAUGUAAUUAUGUGAUGUAGAAUCUAUAAAGACUCAAAAGGGAAGUGGAUUAACUGUAGAAGACGCUGAAGGCAAGUGUUCUAAACUAUUGUCUAUGUUCAUUUUGUACAAUCUUUAUGAUUCAUGUAUCUUACGCAUGAAUUGAUGUACAAAGAAGUCGAAGCCAAUUCUUUCAUGUUAAUCUACCAAAAUAUUAUUGAUAUUGCUAUCUUAUACCGACUAUUUUGGUAUGGAUUUCAAAGAAAGACUGAGUAUGAUUACAUAAAUGUUUUGUCGUCAAUCGACAAGCACGUGAGGUUGCCAAAACAUAAACGUCAAUACGUUUAAUGAAGUAGUGUUGUACAGCAUAGAGUACUAUAGGCUGAUCACCUAGACGUGCUCUUAAGAAAUGUUGAACUUACGGACUUGGUGCCGGGUUGUUCUUUUUAAAGAAAGAAUGAUAUGCUCAAGGUCUUGGACCAAAAAUCAAGUUUUAACAGAGGUUGUUCACUGUUAAAUAAUUUAUAGAAAAGAGAAGUUCUAUUUUGAAUUAUCUGUAGUACUUCAUAACUAUUGAUUCAGCUAUAGAAGAUAUAUAUUCAUAUGAUUCAAAC
rnacentral:lncRNA from 1 species